AUUCCGAACAGAGAAGUUAAGCCCGUUAGCGCCGAUGGUACUGCAGAAAUGUGGGAGAGUAGGUCGCCGCCCAUC
rnacentral:rRNA from 1 species